rfam:Triticum aestivum genome assembly, contig: Triticum_aestivum_CS42_TGACv1_scaffold_621763_7DS
CUGACAUGCGUGCGAGUCGAUGGGUUCUGAAACCUGGGAUGCGCAAGGAAGCUGACGAGCGGGAGGCCCUCACGGGCCGCACCGCUGGCCUACCCUGAUCUUCUGUGAAGGGUUCGAGUUGGAGCACGCCUGUCGGGACCCGAAAGAUGGUGAACUGUGCCUGAGCGGGGCGAAGCCAGAGGAAACUCUGGUGGAGGCUCGAAGCGAUACUGACGUGCAAAUCGUUCGUCUGACUUGGGUAUAGGGGCGAAAGACUAAUCGAACCAUCUAGUAGCUGG